rnacentral:rRNA from 1 species
GGUAGCGAAAUUCCUUGUCGGGUAAGUUCCGACCUGCACGAAUCGUGUAACGAGUUGGGUGCUGUCUCAGGGAGAAGCUCAGUGAAAUUGUAGUCGCGGUUAAGAUGCCGCGUACCCGCAGAAGGACGGAAAGACCCUAUGAACCUUUACUAUAAUUUGAUAUUGUCGUUUGACUUUUAAUACGUAGAAUAGCUGGGAGGCUGAGAUAACCUGCUUCAGGGUAGGUUGAGCCGCAAUGUGAAAUACCAGUUUUUAACUGUUAGGCGUCUAACCUCUGGUCCAUUAGCUGGAAGGGGGACAGUGUUAGAGGGUUAGUUUGACUGGGGCGGUCUCCUCCUAAAAAGUAACGGAGGACUGCGAAGGUUCCCUCAGACCGGUUGGUAAUCGGUCGGCGAGGAUAUGGCUAGAAGGGAGCUUAACUGUGAGACCUACAAGUCGAGCAGAUGGGAAACCAGGCCCAAGUGAUCCGGCGAUAGUUCGUGGGAACGUCGUCGCUUAUGGGAUAAAAGGUACUCUAGGGAUAACAGGCUGAUUUCACCCAAGCGUUCAUAGCGACGGUGAAGUUUGGCACCUCGAUGUCGGCUCAUCACAUCCUGGGGCUGUAGAAGGUCCCAAGGGUUUGGCUGUUCGCCAAUUAAAGUGGUACGCGAGCUGGGUUCAAAACGUCGUGAGACAGUUUGGUCCUCUAUCCUCUGUGGGCGUUGGAAAUUUGAGGGGUUCAUUCCUUAGUACGAGAGGACCGGGAAUGACGUACCGCUGGUGUUCCGGUUGUCGUGUCAACGGCAGCGCCGGGUAGCUAAGUACGGAAGAGAUAAGCGCUGAAAGCAUCUAAGCGCCAAGCUCCUCCCAAGAUUAGAUUUCCUUGAGGGACCAAGAAGACUACUUGGUUGAUAGGGCGGAAGUGUAAGUGCAGUAAUGCAUUGAGCUAACCGUUACUAAUUACCCGAACAAGUUUAUUUAC